CUACGAGGGGCACCAGUGGGGAAUAUUGGACAAUGGGGGAAACCCUGAUCCAGCAAUGCCGCGUGUGUGAAGAAGGCCUGAGGGUUGUAAAGCACUUUUGUAGAGGAGGAUGGUAGACCAGGUUAAGAGCUAGGUUUAUUGACGUUACUCUAAGAAUAAGCACCGGCUAACUCCGUGCCAGCAGCCGCGGUAAUACGGAGGGUGCAAGCGUGAAUCGGAAUUACUGGGCGUAAAGGGUGCGUAGGCGGUUAUGUAAGUUAUCUGUGAAAUCCCUGGGCUUAACCUAGGUGGGAAAGAUAAGACUGCGUAACUGGAGUGUGGUAGAGGAUAGUGGAAUUUCAGGUGUAGCGGUGAAAUGCGUAGAGAUCUGAAGGAACACCAGUGGCGAAGGCGGCUAUCUGGACCAACACUGACGCUGAGGCACGAAAGCGUGGGGAGCAAAUAGGAUUAGAUACCCCAGUAGUC
rnacentral:rRNA from 1 species